ensembl:lncRNA
GAGGAUCUAUGUACAAGAUCCUCAUGUGGGAAGAUUUUAGUACCUAACAUUAAAUGAAAGUCAGAAUGACAGAAGCCAAGGACUAGAGAGUGCAUGGAAAGAGGUUAUGCUAAGGAGUUAUGUCGGAGCCAAAUUGCAGGAUAUUGUGGGCCAAAGUUUUUUAUCCUUAGAGUUAUUAUUUAAAUUUAAACUAAUAUUCUUUACACUCUACAAAGACUUACCACUGCAGUUGACCCUUGAGCAGCUUGGGAGUUAGUGAUGCCACUCCUACAAGCAGUCAAAAACCCAAGGAUAAUUUAUAGUUGGCCUUAUUAUCUGAGGUUCCUCUGUGUGGGAAGAUUCAACCAAUUGCAGAUCCCAUAAUACUGUAGUAUUUAUUAUUGGGGAAAAAAAAUCUGGAUUUUUUGGAUACACAUAGUUCAGACUCCUGUUGUUCAAGAGUCAGCUGUACUUGCUCCGGUGGUUGUAUUCUAAGAGUUCAUUUUUCUUUCAGUUUAAGACUUACAGUGCUUUUCCUAUGGAAUCAUUGUUGUAGAGAUCAAGUCUCCUAAAACAUUUUUAACACAGUUAACAGUGGAAGGUAGUGAAUAUUAACAUUGAGCCCUUAAGAAAACUAGGUGGAAGAUAGAAAAGAAAAACAAAAAAGGGGAUUAAAAUUGGUAUCUCUACAUACUCAAGAGAAUGUCCUGAGUGUGAUUGACUGAGUUUGAAUAAUAAGGAAAAAAGUCUGCAAGUGUAGGAGGCUAGUGUAGGAGAUCCUAGCAAAUGAUUAUCAUAUUCAGUUGGACAGCUUAAGACCCUCACUUGGUACCUGUAUGAAGCAGUGUGAUAUCCGAAGCAUACCAAGGCAGGGAAAGUAGAAGACAUCAUAUUCACAAAUUCAAUGUUCCAAAUCUAGGAAAUAUUUGUGUCAAUGUUAUUAAAACAUAAAAUUAAAAAAUAUAUUUUAAGUAGAAUUGCAAAAUGGUAAUACAAUGCCAACUGUGUUUUGGUUUUUUUAGAGUAAAAAAGUAAGAAGUUAUAAGAAUUAUAUUUUACUAAUGCUCAUAUUUAUUUGUUUGUUUUUUGGUUUAUUUUUAGCCACACCCAUGGCAUCUGGAAGUUCAUGGCCAGGGAUCAAAUCUAAGCCUCAGCUGAGGCCUACAUCACAAGCUGUGGCAAUGCCAGAUCCUUAACCCUCUGUGCUGGGCCAGGGAUUGAACUCAUGCUACCACAGAGAUGAGAUGGCAUCCUUAACCUGCUGUGGCACAGCAGGAACUCCUGAAGUAGUACUUUUAAAGACAAAGUUGAAGGAAUUUAAUUUUUAAUCUUAUUUUCCAUUUAACUUAGAACAUCGUCAAUAAGAUAGUUUCAUUUCUUGUUGAUAUUUAAAUUUUAAGCCUCUUUGAACACCAGCUUACAUCUAUAUUAGUAAAUAAUCUAGUUAAUAAAGUUUAUUAAGAAUAUUAUAAAAAGAUGGAUCAGUUACUUGAAUUUUAUCAAGACCAAAAUGUCACAAAAAAAUGUGUUAAAUUGUAAGGAAAAGGUAAAAUAUAUGCAAGCAUUCACUGAAUAGUCAUCACAAUACUGUUGGUUGAGGAAUUCUGCCAGUACAUCAUCCUUUAUCAGGUGAUCUUGAACUUUAACUUUCUGGCAUUCUCAAGUAUGGCUUUUAAAGCAGAUUAACAUCUAAAAUUAAGAACUGCAGAAUUGACUUUAGUGGUUAUUUACUCAUGUAUUUGCACUUUUACUUACAAAACAUUCUAAAUUAGAAAGUAUCACUACCAUUUAUUUAUUUAUUUUUGCAGUGUCUAGCAGACUACUGGUAUUCAGAGACCAUAAAUAUUUGGGAAGCUUAUUGGGGUUUGAAAACACAGUUUACUAAAUUUAUCUGAUAUCUCUAAGGGUCAUCGUACCUUUUAAACAGAAAUGAAGAAUCACUUGGAAAUUAUUCAGGGAUUGAUGUGUUCCCUCUGUUUUACAGGUUUCUACUUGUCUAUCAAAGUAUAUUCCAAAAAUCCCUAGUUCUGUGAUAAUAGGUAUGGCCAUCCUCACCUAUCUCCCAUGAGAUUUCUUCAUUGAUGUUUUGAAAACUUGAUUAAAGAAUACUGAACAGGAUUUUUUUUACCAUAAUAGCAAUCACUAACAUUUAUUGAAUGCUUACUUUGUGCCAGUCACUAUGCUAAGAGUUUUACAUACAUUAUCUUAUUUAAUCUUAACAACCAGAAAAAACACUUGGAAGAAUAUUCAAGAAGUAUUUCCUUGUAUUACUUCACAGCUUAUAAGCACCAGUGCAAGAACUUCUGUUAAGAAUAUAAUAGUGAGAAAAAUACCAUUUUCUGUUCUUAAAAAUCCUGUGGCUUUGGGAAAGAAGAUUAUGAAAUUUAUCCUUAAAAUUAAACAUUGAACUUAAUAAUGUUUUCUAUGCUCUUCUAACCAUAGUAUUCACAGAUAAUCAGUGAAAACCAUUAUAUUCUUUUAUGACUAGGAAACAACCUUUAAGGCUUCAGAGAGAUGCCUGGGUUUGAACACAGGUUCUAUAGUGUUCAAACACAGGCCACUAUAGUGUUCAACUUUGGUGAGCUGUUAAGGUUCUGAAAUUGAGUUUCUCUGUAAAAUUAGUAUAGUGGUACAUUUCUCACAGAGUUAGUUGUGACUAUUAAGUGAUAGAGUACCAAGCGUAUAUGAAGUCCUAGCAUAUAGUGUACAUUCACUGAAACUUGGUUUUCUUUCUUUUUCCUUCUCUUCUUUUUCUGUUAGUAAUAACCAUGUUUUAGAAUCUUCAUGAAAUUAUAUACACAUUAAAUUUUUAAAUUGUUUUCCUUUUAAAAAGUAAUCUAUUUCUCCUAAAAUUAUUUUAAAACUUUCCUUAAAUUCUGAUUUGAGGGCUUGAUUUACUUCAUCUUUUUGCUUUUCUGCAUUUUGCUAAUGAAAUGGGCACUUGUAAAUGUUGUUGAACUCAGAUACAAAUUUAAGUAGCCACACUUCAUUAAUGUAAACACUCUACUGAAAGCUUACAGCUAUGCUUUUGGUUCUUAUUAAGUGAAAGAAUAUUAAAUAGAGUUCCUUUUUUUGUCUUUAUUUCCCCACACUAAACAGGCGAUAGUGCAAAGAAGUUAAGUGCCUGGACUCUAGGGCAAAUCUGUUUGGAAUCAAAUCCCUACUUUACCACUUAACUAUGUGACACCUGCACCUCAAUUUACACAUUAGUAAAAUGGGUGUAAUAAUUGUGCCCACCUUAGGGCAUAUAUCUAUAUCUAUCUAUAUAUAACUGUUAAAAAUGCCUUGCACAUACUGAGUGCCGUAACAGUGUUAACUGUUAAUAGUGAUUAUAUGUAUUAUCUGUAGAUGAAUAUGUAUUAUCUGUAUAUCAGUUGUAUUAUAGAAAAAAUUGUUACUACUGUUCUGGUAAGAGUCUAAUUUGGUAAUUUUUCAUUUGGUAGAAUAAAAACAAAUUCAGUUUAAUUUACGGUUCCAUGAAAAGUAUGUAGCAUUUGUAUUUGCAAAUUCUUCACUUUUUUUUUUACUUCUUAAUCGUAUUAUUGGAGAUAGUGAAAAAUCCCUGUUGUUUCUGGUGAAGAAGCUAAGACAUAAGUAAAUUUAGGAGCUUUUAAAGCAUAGCAGUUUUUAAAGUUAGUAGAAAGUUAGUAUUCAGAGUAUUCCAUGUGCUAUUAUGUUGAGCCAUGCAUCUCUACUCCUUAUUAAAUAUUCAAACAACAAACCUAUUAGUUGGCAAACUAAAUGUUAAAGGGAUAUUAUUCUGUUCUUCAAGACUUUCAUUGGCUUAUGUCUCCUUUGGAUGUGUUCUCUUAAGAUUGAUUCACUUAGCCUUAAAUUAAUUCAAAGAUUGUAUGCAAAAAAUUUGUCUUUGCUGGCAUUGGACUAAUUAAAGCUAAGUGGUGGUGGCCCAGCUAUCCUUUAGGACAUUUGUGGAUGGAGUAUCUUUUUUAGUAAUCAGCUGCCUUCCCUUCCCGCCUCAUUUGAUGAAAUGGAAAAUUUCUCUACAAUUUCUCAUAGUAUCAGUAACCAUUGUAGUAAUACUGUGCUUCUCUGAACCAUCCAAGAAACUUAACCGUCAUUCUUAAUAUUAGUUUCUAUGAAAAAUGAUUCCAAGUUUCAAAGAAUAAAUUGAAAAGCACUAGGAUUAUAAGAACAGUUUUCUGGGUUUUUUUUAGAAAGAUACAUUAGAGAAACAUUUAAAAUAUUUGUUUUUUCUUGUUUAAAAUACUGCACAUUGUCUCUAAUUAAUCAAUUUAAGAAAGUUAUGAACAGUUUGUUUGGAAUCCAGAAAAUAAUAAAUGAUGAUGACUAGAAAACUCAAAAGCAUCCCUUUAAGAGAGAAUUGUAAAUGUUACUUAGACAAGUAAUAGAAAAGUGUCAUUUAGGAGUAGUAAAUAAUUUACUAUGAAUUUUCUCUUUAAAACUAACAAAACUUAAAACUUAGUAUUUUAGUCUAAUAAUUUGGAAAUCUUUAUAGGUGCUUUCACAUCAGUGCCACUUUUAUUAUAGAAAACUAAACAAGGAUAAAUUUAUAUAUGUUGAAAAUAGCAGUAUUGACUCAAACACAAAAUAUCCUGUUUUCCAUCCUUGUGAAAUAAUGUUUAAAUUGUAAACAAAUUUGGAAAAAUGUUUUUCUCUAUCUUUUUUUAUAUUUUUAUUCUUAUUUUUUUUUAGUGUUUUCAUGUAUACACUCUACCGAUUAUUAGGGGCAUAGACUCAGGGAACCUAGUCACCUAAUAACCGAAUUUGAAAACUCUCAAAUUAUUUUGUAAAUCCUGUUGUGAUUAAACCACUUUAAGUUUCUCCUAAAAAAAAAGUCAAGUUAUGUUUAAAAUAAUCUUUUUUAAAGUUAUGGCUUCUGAAAAGGAUUAUUUCUUGAAAGGAGAUUGUGAACAUUUUAGAAUAUUAUUAAGGCUACCAUCAGCUGCUAAGGGACAUCAAAUCCUGACUCAAGGAAAUAGUAAUUUUUCAUAAGUAGGAAUUUUUCUAAAGUAGAGAAAAGAUGUACAUUGUUGUCUGUUACAUAUGCAAUUAGGUAAAAAAAGUCCUAGGACUUAAGAAGCAAUCUCAGGUUUUUCAUAGCGGUGUAGAGAAGUAUAAAUAUUUAUUCAGUUGCUUGUUCUACACAUGUUAACUACAUGAUAUGAGCCAUGUAUGCAGCAAUAAAUAAGACAGGUAGGUAUAUGAUAUCAUAUUUGUCUUUCUCUUUCUGACUUACUUCACUCGGUAUGAGAGACUGUAGUUCCAUUCAUGUUGCUGCAAAUGAAAAGACUUAGAGAAAAGACUUGUGGUUGCCAAGGGGGAGGGGGAGGGAGUAGGAUGGAUUGGGAGCUUGGGGUUAAUAGAUGCAGACUAUUGCCUUGGGAAUGGAUUAGCAAUGAUAUCCUGUUGUGUAGCACUGGGAGCUAUGUCUAGUCACAUGAUGGAGCAUGAUAAUGUGAGAAAAAAGAAUGUAUACGUGUAUGUGUAACUGAGUCACCAUGCUGUACAGUAGAAAAAAA